rnacentral:lncRNA from 1 species
GGGAGGACCCGAGGCCUGGCGGGGUGAGCCGAGCGAAGCCGAAAAGCUGCGAGAAGUGGCGGAGAGAGCCGAGCCGAGGUUCCGUUGGGAAGAACGGAGAGGCAGUUGAGCGGUAGAGAGCGCGGAGGCUGGCGGCGCCGCACAGGCAUGCCAAGGCGGGGACGGCGGAAAAUGAAGGCGGCUGGGCUGGAAGGAGCCGUGGAGGACGAGCGUGGAGUCUUCCGGGCGCCCGAGCUGCCCCGAGCGCCCCUCGAAGAGGGUCGUGGUCGCCGGUCUCUCCCGCUACCCUCCUCCCCGCUCCUCCGGCCCCGCCGCUGCCCACGGUGCGGGGCGGUCUGGCCGGACAACGGCGUGUCCUCCACCCACGACGAGGACGCGCGUGUCCCCACGGCUGGAUCCUCCGGACUUGAUGGCCCCGUUGAGUUUGGCGCUGAUGUCCCCAGCGGAGACUGACCCCUGGGGGUGCAGCAUCUGACCUGCACUGAGCCCACCUACCCAACACGUGAGGAAGGCCGCUGGGGUGCAGUGACCGCGCCGGCUGACCGGGGGUCUGGGAAGAGGCCCCCCCAUCAUCCAAGACUGAGGCUGGAAUGCAAACUGUGGGCCCCUCCUGACCCUCUGCCCACUUCCAACACCAACGCCGGGUUCUCUUAUUCAUGGUUUUAAUUGUGUGCAACAGAAGGUCUGCCUGAGCCAUGAAGACUGUCUGUGUACUUUGUAUGGCUGCUGCUGACGUCAGCCCUUCAGGUCGCACCUGGCACAAGAAGGUCACUUCCUGCGUGGAUUUCUCCCAUCCCCAGCUUGAGGGCAGAGGAGGUAGUGGGUUGCCAAACGUCUGCCAAAAGUUCCUGUCCACCUGAACCUCGGACUGUGAUCUUAUUUGGAAACAGAGUCUUUGCAGAUGUGGCCUCAAAUCCUGUCAGCUGCUCCUGCCCUGUGACCUCACUCAGCUCCGCUUCCCCCAACUCCAGGUCUGGCAGUGCUGCAGGCCUGGAGAUGCUGCAGUCUCCUGGAUG